rnacentral:rRNA from 1 species
AUGGCAGUGGCUGGUGCCCCACCUGUUCUCCAGCUCCUGCCCCAACAAUGGCAGCUGAUUCUAGCCAUCCUCCUCGUCCCACUCGCCUUCCUCCUCCUUCGGGGAAGGUUGGGCUCCGGCCUGAAGCUCCCACCGGGCCCCAUGAGGCUGCCUUUCGUGGGCAACCUGCACCAGAUCGGGCCACUGCCGCACCGGAGCCUGGCUGCGCUGGCCCGGCGGCAUGGGCCUGUGAUGAUGCUGCGGCUGGGCAUGGUGCCGACGGUGGUGCUGACAUCGCCAGAGGCGGCCCGGGAAGCCCUCAAGACCAAGGAUGAUGACUGCAGCAGCCGUCCCCUGUCGGCAGGGCCAGGGCUGCUGUCCUACGGCUACAAGGACGUGGCCUUCUCGCCGUGGAGCGACUACGUCCGCGAGAUGCGCAAGUUGUUCAUCAUCGAGCUGCUCAGCAGGCGGCGCGUGCAGUCUGCCUACUACGCGAGGGAUGCACAGAUCGACAAGCUGAUUGAGACCCUCACCGUGGUGGGGCCGAACCCGGUACCCCUGGAGGCCCACAUCUUCGCCACCAUGGACCGGAUUGUGGGCUUGUUCGCGUUCGGCGAGAGCUACGCGGGGGAGCAGUUCAAGGGGCAGUUUGUGCCCUUACUCAACGCAACCAUGGACAUGUUGGGUAGCUUCUCUGCCCAAGACUUCUUCCCCAACGCCGUUGGCCGCCUCAUCGACCGCAUCACCGGCGUCAAAGCCCACCGCCAGAGGGUCUUUCGUCAGCUCGACCGCUUCUUUGAGCAUAUCAUCGAGCAGUGCGAUGGGAGAAAGGCCACCGGCGGCGGCGGAUCGGACCUGGUGCAGGAGCUGCUGGACAUCAUGAAAAGGCCCGCCGCCUCCGCUGCAGGAACCUUCACCAGAGAUCAUGUCAAGGCCAUUCUCAUGAACACAUUCAUUGGUAGCAUUGACACCACCACAGUGACCAUAACCUGGGCAAUGGCAGAGCUGAUCCGGAAACCAAGGGUUCUGCAAAGGGCACAACUUGAGAUUAGGACUGCCGCUGGAGGAGGCAGCAGAGUGCACCAAGCUGACAUGCCCAAAAUGAGCUACCUGAGGAUGGUGCUGUCCGAGACCCUACGGCUGCAUCCCCCAGCAACACUACUCGUACCGAGAGAGACGCUGCGGCCGAUCCAGGUGGCUGGCUACGACAUCCCAGCCAAGACCCAGGUCAUUGUCAAUGCGUGGGCCAUCAGCAGGGACCCCUCCGCGUGGAAGGACCCCGAGGAGUUUAACCCGGAGCGGUUCCAGGACACUGACGUGGACUUCAACGGCAGCCACUUCGAGUUCAUCCCCUUCGGCGCGGGCCGCCGGAUCUGCCCCGGGCUGGCCAUGGGGGUGGCAAACGCCGAGUACAUCCUUGCCAACUUGCUCUACUGCUUCAACUGGGCGCUGCCCAACGGGGUGAGCCGGGAGGGUGUGAACAUGGAGGAGGAAGGGGUGCUCACUUACCGGAAGAAGACCUCACUCAUGCUCGUGCCAACACCUUACCACCCAGCCCAGGAGAAAGAGGAGGAGUAUUAG